rnacentral:rRNA from 1 species
GACGAACCGAGCGAACGUUGUUCGGAAUCACUGGGCUUAAAGGGCGCGUAGGCGGGCGAUCAAGUCGGUGGUGAAAUCCUGCAGCUUAACUGCAGAACUGCCUCCGAUACUGGUGGUCUCGAGGAAGGUAGGGGCGUGCGGAACAGUUGGUGGAGCGGUGAAAUGCGUUGAUAUCAACUGGAACUCCGGUGGCGAAGGCGGCACGCUGGACCUUUUCUGACGCUGAGGCGCGAAAGCCAGGGGAGCAAACGGG